GACGAACGCUGGCGGCGUGCUUAACACAUGCAAGUCGAACGGAAAGGCCCUGCUUUUGUGGGGUGCUCGAGUGGCGAACGGGUGAGUAACACGUGAGUAACCUGCCCUUGACUUUGGGAUAACUUCAGGAAACUGGGGCUAAUACCGGAUAGGAGCUCCUGCUGCAUGGUGGGGGUUGGAAAGUUUCGGCGGUUGGGGAGGGACUCGCGGCUUGUCAGCUUGUUGGGGGGGUAGUGGCUUACCAAGGCUUUGACGGGUAGCCGGCCUGAGAGGGUGACCGGCCACAUUGGGACUGAGAUACGGCCCAGACUCCUACGGGAGGCAGCAGUGGGGAAUAUUGAACAAUGGGCGGAAGCCUGAUGCAGCAACGCCGCGUGCGGGAUGACGGCCUUCGGGUUGUAACCCGCUUUCGCCUGUGACGAAGCGUGAGUGACGGUAAUGGGUAAAGAAGCACCGGCUAACUACGUG
rnacentral:rRNA from 1 species